UCCCAAGCUUGAGGUUUCAUUAUUUUUGUUGGUUAAUAGAGCACAGUAAUGCCUUAGACUUGUGUGGAUUAGUCAGAAUACUUAAUGAACAUAAUUUACAUACCCCCUCCCUGUUUUUGUGUGUACAUUUCAGGAAUGCGUAGGUACAUAUAUAUCAACUGCCAAGGUGCACAGUGUCACAGCUGUGAAUUUGUGCAUGUGUGUGUGUGUGCACGUGGGUGGGUGUGUGCGUGCAUGUGUGCGCGUGCGUGCGUGUGUGUGUGCGCGUGGGUGUGCAUGUGUGUGGUUUCUCCACAGGCUGGGUUGGUGUAAUCUCACAGAGGGCUGCUGUGGUGUUCUGGCCUCAGUCCUGCGUUCUCCUCACUCAGAGCUGAAAUAUCUGGAGCUCAGAGACAACGAGCUGCAGGAUUCAGGAGUGAGAGCGCUCUCUGCUGGACUGGAGGACCCACAUUGUAAACUGCAGAGACUGGGGCUGUCAGGCUGUAGAGUCACACAGACAGGCUGUGAUUCUCUGGCUUCAGCUCUGUGUUCAAACCCCUCACACCUGAGAGAGCUGGACCUGAGAUACAAUCACCCAGGAGACUCAGGAGUGAGAGCGCCGUCUGCUGCUAAACUGGACAUGCUCACACUGCUUGUGGACCAUGGAGGCGAGAACAGGAUCAAACCUGGACCCAGGAAAU